GUUGGCGCCAUGAUUUAGGGGCAUAAAGAGUUACACUAGUCCGUCUGUCCCGAACGUCCCAUAAAAACGGGUUACACUCUUCUUACUUUAAUUUGCCUCAACCAAAUACUAAAAAACUUAUACACAAUAUAUAAAAGAAGCUGGUGCAUGAGUGCCAAUGAGAACUCUCCACAAGAGACUAAAUGACACAGAAAUUAACAAUUAUACAAUGUAGCCUAGGUCACCACACGGUCUUCAACAAUGAGCAAGGUUCAUACCGCAAAGUCAGCUAUUAAAGGCACCGACAUGACAAUGUAAAACAAUUCAAACGAGAAAACAAACGGUCUAAUUUAUG
rnacentral:lncRNA from 1 species